rnacentral:rRNA from 1 species
UACAGAGGGUGCGAGCGUUGUCCGGAAUCACUGGGCGUAAAGGGCGCGUAGGCGGCCUGAUAAGUCGGGGGUGAAAUCCUGUGGCUUAACCACAGGGCUGCCUCCGAGACUGUCGGGCUCGAGCACAGUAGAGGCAGGUGGAAUUCCCGGUGUAGCGGUGGAAUGCGUAGAGAUCGGGAAGAACAUCGGUGGCGAAGGCGGCCUGCUGGGCUGUUGCUGACGCUGAGGAGCGAAAGCGUGGGGAGCGAACAGG